rnacentral:rRNA from 1 species
UGAGAGGAUGAUCAGCCACACUGGGACUGAGACACGGCCCAGANUCNUACGGGAGGCAGCAGUGGGGAAUAUUGGACAAUGGGCGAAAGCCUGAUCCAGCCAUNCCGCGUGAGUGAUGAAGGCCCUAGGGUUGUAAAGCUCUUUCACCGGUGAAGAUAAUGACGGUAACCGGAGAAGAAGCCCCGGCUAACUUCGUGCCAGCAGCCGCGGUAAUACGAAGGGGGCUAGCGUUGUUCGGAAUUACUGGGCGUAAAGCGCACGUAGGCGGAAUGUUAAGUCAGGGGUGAAAUCCCGGGGCUCAACCCCGGAACUGCCUUUGAUACUGGCAUUCUCGAGUCCGGAAGAGGUGAGUGGAAUUCCGAGUGUAGAGGUGAAAUUCGUAGAUAUUCGGAGGAACACCAGUGGCGAAGGCGGCUCACUGGUCCGGUACUGACGCUGAGGUGCGAAAGC